AUUGAACGCUGGCGGCAGGCCUAACACAUGCAAGUCGAACGAAGCCUUCGGGCUUAGUGGCGCACGGGUGCGUAACGCGUGGGAAUCUGCCCUUGGGUUCGGAAUAACAGUUAGAAAUGACUGCUAAUACCGAAUGAUGUCUUCGGACCAAAGAUUUAUCGCCCAAGGAUGAGCCCGCGUCGGAUUAGCUAGUUGGUGAGGUAAAGGCUCACCAAGGCGACGAUCCGUAGCUGGUCUGAGAGGAUGAUCAGCCACACUGGGACUGAGACACGGCCCAGACUCCUACGGGAGGCAGCAGUGGGGAAUAUUGGUCAAUGGGCGAGAGCCUGAACCAGCCAUGCCGCGUGCAGGAAGAAGGCCCUCUGGGUUGUAAACUGCUUUUGACCAGGGCCAAAAUACUCAUGCGUGAGGAAUUGAGAGUACUGGUAGAAUAAGCACCGGCUAACUCCGUGCCAGCAGCCGCGGUAAU
rnacentral:rRNA from 1 species